rnacentral:rRNA from 1 species
CACCGGCGGCCCGAGUGGUGAUCGUGAUUAUUGGGUCUAAAGGGUCCGUAGCCGGUUUGGUCAGUCCUCCGGGAAAUCUGAUAGCUCAACUAUUAGGCUUUCGGGGGAUACUGCCAGACUUGGAACCGGGAGAGGUAAGAGGUACUACAGGGGUAGGAGUGAAAUCUUGUAAUCCCUGUGGGACCACCUGUGGCGAAGGCGUCUUACCAGAACGGGUUCGACGGUGAGGGACGAAAGCUGGGGGCACGAACCGGAUUAGAUACCCGGGUAGUCCCAGCCGUAAACGAUGCUCGCUAGGUGUCAGGCAUGGCGCGACCGUGUCUGGUGCCGCAGGGAAGCCGUGAAGCGAGCCACCUGGGAAGUACGGCCGCAAGGCUGAAACUUAAAGGAAUUGGCGGGGGAGUACAACAACGGGUGGAGCCUGCGGUUUAAUUGGACUCAACGCCGGACAACUCACCGGGGACGACAGCAAAAUGUAGGCCAGGCUGAAGACCUUGCCUGAAUCGCUGAGAGGAGGUGCAUGGCCGUCGCCAGUUCGUACUGUGAAGCAUCCUGUUAAGUCAGGCAACGAGCGAGACCCGUGCCCACUGUUACCAGCAUGUCCUCCGGGAUGAUGGGUACUCUGUGGGGACCGCCGGUGUUAAAUCGGAGGAAGGUGCGGGCUACGGUAGGUCAGUAUGCCCCGAAUUUCCCGGGCUACACGCGGGCUACAAUGAAUGGGACAAUGGGCCCCUCCCCUGAAAAGGGCUGGUAAUCUCACAAACCCAUCCUUAGUUCGGAUCGAGGGCUGUAACUCGCCCUCGUGAAGCUGGAAUCCGUAGUAAUCGCGUUUCAAUAUAGCGCGGUGAAUACGUCCCUGCUCCUUGCACACACCGCCCGUCAAACCACCCGAGUGAGGUAUGGGUGAGGGCACGAACUCUGCGUCGUGUUCGAACCUGUGCUUUGCAAGGGGGGUU